CUAUUCAAUCCGUAAUUCAAUCCAACGAGGUGCAGAGGAGCCUGCGUAGAAGGGUGGUGGAAGGGUCGCGGGUCACGCCGGUGAAUUGAAACGCGGAAUAGGACCGGAACUCUGACUGCAGUGAGAUCUUACAUGCUGCAUACUGCCAGCAACAGGCAUGGCAUCAUUGCUCCGGACCGUAUGUGCCAGCGUGCUGCGCCCCACGCAACUGAUGCGCCCGUCAGAGCUGCAGCAGGUGCGGUCUUUCAGCAUCCUCUCCAAAAUUAAUGUCUGCAAUGUCCUGGCCAGCGCGUCCCCGUCAGCCCCGAUUCAAAUUCCAAUGCGAACCUUCAAGGACAUGGACGUGCUCACCAAGCGCUGCAAGGAUUGCUACUUCAAGAAGGACGACGACCGAUGGUACGUCCUAUGCAAGACGCACGGCCGCCAUAAGCAGAGGCAGCGACUGCCUGACAAGCGGCACUUUUGGAUUGUAACGCACAGAACUCAUGGACCACGGAAGAAUUUCUAAGCCACAUGUUGUUGAGGAUGUGCUGUUGAUUAAAGUGUAGAAAAUUGUAA